rnacentral:lncRNA from 1 species
AGGUCGUAUUUUAUUUUAUUUAUUUUAUUAGACAGUGUGCUCUCCUCAGAUUUCAAUGAGAAGGUACUUCGGUUCUUUAAUCCUCGUGGCGGUGAUAGUAAAGUAAAGAGGAAUGAAAGGCAGGCAACCAAAACACCAUCACUCCAUUAAUGACACUGGAGCGCUCAGCUCUAUUGGGAUGUUGCCCAGACAUCUACUAAUAGAAGCCAUGGUUCAGGAUGUGAACUUGGCAUUGGCUGCCAAAAUCACAAAUCUGCGAAGAAAGCAUUGCAGAAGAAUGUCUGGAUUAAUUUAAGAAAUUAUCCAAUAUUGAAAAUGGGAGUUUCCCUAUUUGCUGGUAGAUACAUUAGAGACAGAGGUAGAGAAUAUAACAGAAUGAAAAUAGAAUAAAAAGAUUAGAAAUACAAAGUACACACCUCAAUACUGUAUUGAGUAAAAGGCCAGGAAUGUAUGUAUUUCAGAAUGAAUAAAUUAGGCCAAUGGCCAGAGAGUUCUAUGUUACAAUUGGCUUUAAAGGAUUUCGUUCUCGAAUGUUAAGUAACUUCUGACAAAUGUGAGUUUUCUUACGAAGUUACUUGGUUGUAUGGUUCUACAAAUGCCCGAGUGCUUGCCGUGAUAUUUAGACAUUCACUAACACUGCUAUAAUAAUUGGCAUUAUUAUUUUUGUAUAAAUGAGUGUUAUUGUUCCCUAUUCAUUCUAGCACAUGCGGGAACAAACAGAAAUGUGCUCUUUGGGAGUGGAAGGAAGAAAACAGAUUCUCUGUUCACAUUGGGCUACUGCCCAGACCGAACAGAGGAUCUCUCAGCUGGGGCCAGCAGCUUUCGUGGCCUCUGGCUAACACAAACUCCUCAGUGGCCUUUCAGAGCCACUUAGAAUCAAGUUCCAGAAGUCUGUGAGUGGAGGCUGCAGCUGCAGACACUGAAGGACACCUAUGUGGCCCUGCACACAUACCACUGCCUGCUUUCUGAUUCUAAUUCUGCUGGUGUAUUGAAGAGAAGACUGGAGGUUUAAGGACUGGGAAUGUUUCUGACAUACCUCCCUCUCUCUCUCUCUCUCUCUCUCUCUCUCUCUCUCUCUCUCUCUCUCUCUCUCUCUCUCUCUCCCUCUCUCUCUCUCUCUCUCUCUGGGCUACCAUAGAGUAAGAUAAACCUUUUUAUAGGCACCAAAAGGCAAUAGUACAGAUUGAGCUCAAUACCAUCUUUGUUCUUUAAAAACAAAACGUAGGACUAAAUGCAGAACCUCAUUUUAUAAGUUUAAUGGUCCAGCCAAAGCAAAAUGAAUCAAGAGAACAGAAAGAGAAAGGAGGCCGAUUCUGAUAAUUGUGUUUGAGUUUACACUGAACAUUUAAGCCUAAUGUCAGAAUCAGUUCAUGGUGAAAGCUUUUCCUGCUGAGGGACUUCACUAAGAGGAAAAUAACAUAGUAUUAAAAAAAUGUCUAUACCAGGAUGCUGCUUAUGUGAACAGGGCAUG